CGCCAUAGGAUGGGUCUGCGGCCGAUUAGGUAGUUGUUGGGGUAACGGCCCAACAAGCCUUUGAUCGGUACGGGUUGUGGGAGCAAGAGCCCGGAGAUGGAUUCUGAGACACGAAUCCAGGCCCUACGGGGCGCAGCAGGCGCGAAAACUUUACAAUGCGGGAAACCGUGAUAAGGGAACUCCGAGUGCCCGUAAACGCGGGCUGUCCAUCUGCUUAAAAAACAGGUGAAGAAAGGGCCGGGCAAGACCGGUGCCAGCCGCCGCGGUAAUACCGGCGGCUCGAGUGGUAACCGUUAUUAUUGGGUCUAAAGGGUCUGUAGCCGGCCGGAUAAGUCUCUUGAGAAAUCUGGCAGCUUAACUGUCAGGCUUUCAGGAGAUACUGUCUGGCUCGAGGCCGGGAGAGGUGAGAGGUACUUCAGGGGUAGGGGUGAAAUCUUGUAAUCCUUGAAGGACCACCAGUGGCGAAGGCGUCUCACCAGAACGGACCUGACGGCAAGGGACGAAAGCUAGGGGCACGAACCGGAUUAGAUACCCGGGUAGUCCUAGCCGUAAACGAUACUCGCUAGGUGUCGGCCACGGUGCGACCGUUGUCGGUGCCGUAGGGAAGCCGUGAAGCGAGCCACCUGGGAAGUACGGCCGCAAGGCUGAAACUUAAAGGAAUUGGCGGGGGAGCACCACAACGGGUGGAGCUUGCGGUUUAAUUGGAUUCAACGCCGGAAAUCUUACCGGGACCGACAGCAAUAUGAAGGCCAGGCUGAAGACUUUGCCGGAUUAGCUGAGAGGUGGUGCAUGGGCCGUCGUCAGUUCGUACUGUGAAGCAUCCUGUUAAGUCAGGCAACGAGCGAGACCCGAAUC
rnacentral:rRNA from 1 species